UGUGCGGUUACUCAUGGUCUUCUCUUCACAAAUCAGCUGUGAGAAGAUCCCAACUGGAUUCCAGGCAGCAGUCUGCUGUGAAAUGAGAGGUGCUGCGUUAGACGUGCAAGAACGACGUGCUUUCAACACCACCUGUUUUCUUCCUGCUUGUGGAUUCACCAUUAGGCAAAAAUCUUGCCGCUGGAUUUGCCCCUGGGCACUGGGUGCAAGAAACUUCCUGCAACUGGAUUCACCACUAGGGAUAAGUAUCUUCACAGAUACCCGUAAGAAACUGGAGAAGCCAUGGAU
rnacentral:lncRNA from 1 species